rnacentral:rRNA from 1 species
GAUGAACGCUGGCGGCGUGCCUAAUACAUGCAAGUCGAGCGAACAGAUGAGGAGCUUGCUCCUCUGACGUUAGCAGCGGACGGGUGAGUAACACGUGGAUAACCUACCUAUAAGACUGGGAUAACUUCGGGAAACCGGAGCUAAUACCGGAUAAUAUAUUGAACCGCAUGGUUCAAUAGUGAAAGACGGUUUUGCUGUCACUUAUAGAUGGAUCCGCGCCGCAUUAGCUAGUUGGUAAGGUAACGGCUUACCAAGGCAACGAUGCGUAGCCGACCUGAGAGGGUGAUCAGCCACACUGGAACUGAGACACGGUCCAGACUCCUACGGGAGGCAGCAGUAGGGAAUCUUCCGCAAUGGGCGAAAGCCUGACGGAGCAACGCCGCGUGAGUGAUGAAGGUCUUCGGAUCGUAAAACUCUGUUAUUAGGGAAGAACAAAUGUGUAAGUAACUAUGCACGUCUUGACGGUACCUAAUCAGAAAGCCACGGCUAACUACGUG